AAACCAACAGGGAUUGCCCCAGUAACGGCGAGUGAAGCGGCAAAAGCUCAAAUUUGAAAUCCUGCGGGAAUUGUAAUUUGAAGGUUUCGUGGUCUGAGUCGGCCGCGCCCAAGUCCAUUGGAACAUGGCGCCUGGGAGGGUGAGAGCCCCGUAUGGCGCACGCCGACUCUUUGCACCGCGGCUCCGACGAGUCGAGUUGUUUGGGAAUGCAGCUCUAAGUGGGUGGUAAAUUCCAUCUAAAGCUAAAUAUUGGCGAGAGACCGAUAGCGAACAAGUACAGUGAUGGAAAGAUGAAAAGCACUUUGAAAAGAGAGUGAAACAGCACGUGAAAUUGUUGAAAGGGAAGGGCUUGCAAGCAGACACGGUUUUACCGGGCCAGCGUCGAAAAGGGGGGAGGAACAAGAACUCGAGAAUGUGGCGCGCGCCUUCGGGCGCGCGUGUUAUAGCUCGUGUUGACGCCUCCAUCCCUUUUCGAGGCCUGCGAUUCUAGGACGCUGGCGUAAUGGUUGCAAGCCGC
rnacentral:rRNA from 1 species